AAAGGUAAGCUACUAAGAGCGAAUGGUGGAUGCCUUGACUGGUAAAGGCGAUGAAGGACGUACUAGACUGCGAUAAGCUACGGGGAGCUGUCAAGAAGCUUUGAUCCGUAGAUUUCCGAAUGGGGCAACCCAAUGUAUAGAGAUAUACAUUACCUAUAUAGGAGCGAACGAGGGGAAUUGAAACAUCUUAGUACCCUCAGGAAAAGAAAUCAAUAGAGAUUGCGUCAGUAGCGGCGAGCGAAAGCGCAAGAGGGCAAACCCAGUGCUUGCACUGGGGGUUGUAGGACUGCAAUGUGCAAGAGCUGAGUUUAGCAGAACAUUCUGGAAAGUAUAGCCAUAGAGGGUGAUAGUCCCGUAUGCGAAAAACAAAGCUUAGCUAGCAGUAUCCUGAGUAGGGCGGGACACGAGGAAUCCUGUCUGAAUCCGGGUCGACCACGAUCCAACCCUAAAUACUAAUACCAGAUCGAUAGUGCACAAGUACCGUGAGGGAAAGGUGAAAAGAACUGAGGUGAUCAGAGUGAAAUAGAACCUGAAACCAUUUGCUUACAAUCAUUCAGAGCCCUAUGUAGCAAUACAGGGUGAUGGACUGCCUUUUGCAUAAUGAGCCUGCGAGUUGUGGUGUCUGGCAAGGUUAAGCAAACGCGAAGCCGUAGCGAAAGCGAGUCUGAAUAGGGCGCUUAGUCAGAUGCUGCAGACCCGAAACGAAGUGAUCUAUCCAUGAGCAAGUUGAAGCUAGUGUAAGAACUAGUGGAGGACUGAACCCAUAGGCGUUGAAAAGCCCCGGGAUGACUUGUGGAUAGGGGUGAAAGGCCAAUCAAACUUCGUGAUAGCUGGUUCUCUCCGAAAUAUAUUUAGGUAUAGCGUUGUGUCGUAAUAUAAGGGGGUAGAGCACUGAAUGGGCUAGGGCAUACACCAAUGUACCAAACCCUAUCAAACUCCGAAUACCUUAUAUGUAAUCACAGCAGUCAGGCGGCGAGUGAUAAAAUCCGUCGUCAAGAGGGAAACAACCCAGACUACCAGCUAAGGUCCCUAAAUCUUACUUAA
rnacentral:rRNA from 1 species